GGGAGUUCCCCUACACACGUGCUCUGCCUGCUGCCAUGUAAGACGUGACUUUGUUCCUUCUUCACCUUCCGCCAUGAUUGUGAGGCCUCCCCAGCUAUGUGGAACUAGAUGGGCUUCACUUUGUUGCCCAGGCUGGUCUCCAACUCCUGGCCUCCAGUGAUCCUCCUGCCUUGGCCUCCCAAAGUGCUGGGAUGACAGGCAUGAGCCCUCACACCUGCCCUAACAUUUUGAUGGAUGAAGCCAAAUUGCCCUUCCAGAAGCUUCUGCCCAUGCCCAGGCACAUUGACAUGAGGGCCUCGAAUCCUGCCUGAGCUCCGUGAAGUCCGCAGUGACUUGAGUUGGCGUGAGUGGAAACCUCUGUCUCCACAGUGAAACGUCACUGACUACUGGAAAUUAGGCGAAUGCAUUAGUGCACAGCAGAG